GGCAGUGUGGCAUAGUGGCUUGAGUGCUGGAUUGUGACUCUGGAGAUCAGAGUUUGAUUCCCACCUCAGCCG